rnacentral:rRNA from 1 species
GCAACUGCUGGCACAAAAUUUGUUAUUAAUUUAAAUAUUACUAAAUCUUAAUUACUUAAAUUUUUAAUUUUAAUUACUACAAUAAAUAUUAAUUAUUAUUUAAAUAAAUUAAAAAUUAACACUAAAAUUUAUAUGUAAAAUAAAUUUAUAAUAAAUUUUUAAACCAUAAAUAAUUUUU